UAAGCCCCCUUAUAUAGGCAAGCCUCCAAGCUACUCUUCAACAUUUUUCCAAUGUGGGACAAUGACCAUUCUCAUUUUUAAGCAAAAUUCCAACACUUCAUGGACUGCAUUCAUUUCACUGAUCAAGAAAGGCGUAGAUGCUGGAGAUAUUCUAGCGUUUUUUAUGUUUUGUGAGAACAGGACCCACAAAGCAAUGCUCCUAUCAAUUCAUUCAUGUUGUUGUACUUAAUCUUCUAAUUUGCACCAAGAAAGUGGAAAUCAGUAACUUCUUGUUUAUUGAGUUAUGAUCAUCAUAUUUUGUAAUUGACAGCUCAAAAUAGAUGAAAUUUACAGUAGCUAAAAAGCAAGCAAAUGAUAGCAUGUAUUACAGUUGGGAAUAGCUUUAUCUGAAUAUAUACCAGAUUUAUUCAAGAAACAUAAGUUACACAUGAACAUAAUAAAUAACAAGAGGUUGCAACAUGCAGCAGCAGCAUCAACAACUAUGGUAAUCGAUCAACAACAAAAACAAAAGUGAUUGUAACAUGGUAAUCGAAAAAAGAAAAGUGCCUUGAUCAUGCAUAAGAAAAUACGAAAUAAGUGAUUUUGGAGAGAUCAAGCUUUAUAUAAAAGCGAUUCCAUUCUUAACUAUAUUAUAUUGAGGCCAUAAUUCAAAUGUAGGAAAACAAUUUAAAAGGUAGAAGACCUUUAAAUGUAAGAAGGAAAGAGAUUUUGUUU
rnacentral:lncRNA from 1 species